CAUAGCUGCGGACACAAACACAACCACUGCUUUGACUCAUCCGUUUGACCUCAGACAGCUCUAGGCUCAGGCGGCAGUGGUGGGCAGGGCGGCCUCACAGCCAGGAGAUCCUGGGACCGUUCUAUGAGCAGCCGUUUGGAAGUUCACCUCGGGUUCAAGUGGGUUUCCCCACAACCCUGGGUGCAUGUAAGGUUAAAGCAGGCUUUAUAGUCUCUGUGGCUGUGUGUGUGUGUGUGUGUGUGUGUGUGUGUGUGUGUGUGUGUGUGUGUGUGUGUGUGUGUCCAUUUUGUGAGGAGCUUCAACAGGUCAGAGGUGGGGGACAGGGCAAGGGCUCACUGGAAGUCCUUUUUGGUUCACACCCAGCGACUAUUUAAUGUUAGGUUAGGGUUUAAUGCUCCUGCCAGUGCCCUUGAGCAAGGCAGCAUCAUUAGACCAGGAGAUGGAGGCCGGGCACUGCGCCCUCUUCCCCUACUGAAGGGAUGAAUGCAGAUUUGAAGCAUUAGUGAUGAGCUUAUGGCUCAGUGCAGCACGCCAUGUGCCCGUUUCAAGUGGCACCUUAAAACCUAACCCAAAUCUGUUUAUUAUAACUCAACAGUUUAAUUUGGCAAUAAUAUGACCGGAAUACAUGUUUGUUUUAAUAGCAGUGAGGGGACAGAAUUUGAGGAAUGUGGAAGGUUCAUGACCACAGGGGGUUAAACAAUGGUUGGUCUUGGCUUUCCUUAUUUGGGCAAUACAUUAAUACGAAGAUGACAAAAAAAACUGCAAGUCAUCCCCCUUGUUGAUCUCAUUCUUGUAGCACGAGGUGAAACAGGGGCUGGAACCCAGCCCUAUCAUUAUGACUUGAGUAUGUUUAAUGUUCAAAUAUGACAUGUUCAUGUUCAAAUAUUUAAUGUUCAAAUAUGACAGAUUAACACAUUUAAAAGUCCCCUUCCCCGUUUGAGAGGAAUAUUAUGUCAUAGUUGAUCGUCAACGUAGUAUUUUAUGCCAUUUCGUUAGGGUUAACCAAGAUAAGAUCGUCAAGUUUUACAGCCGUAAAAUCAUGCGUUUUUGCCCGUCUCGGACAACCAUUUUGGGAACACUAUACUGUGCUGAGAACGAAGGAGGCAUGGUGUGUGUGACAGUGUGGAGCUCUGUCUGGCCAGCGGUUGAUUUGGAUGUCGGAGAGCGGUUAAAGAUUAUCGGACCAUUCAUUGUAGCAUAACACUGUUAUACUAUAGUGUCUAGUCACAGUGUGUCUAGUCACAGUGUGUGUUGACUUUCAUACAGGUACAAUAUCACUCAUUAUACUAUAAUAUUACUCCUACACAACAACAGCACUAAAGUAUCACAAAGUUGGGGUGGGUCGUUGCCAUGGGGAUAAAACAUCACCCCGUCUU